rnacentral:rRNA from 1 species
GUUAGGAAUAUUGGACAAUGGGCGCAAGCCUGAUCCAGCCAUGCCGCGUGAGUGAUGAAGGCCUUCGGGUUGUAAAGCUCUUUAGCCGAUGAUUAUAAUGACUGUAGUCGGAAAAUAAGCCCCGGCUAACUUCGUGCCAGCAGCCGCGGUAAUACGAAGGGGGCGAGCGUUAUUCGGAAUCACUGGGCGUAAAGCGUGCGUAGGCGGUUUUGUAAGUUAGGAGUGAAAGCCCAGGGCUCAACCUUGGAAUUGCUCUUAAAACUGCAAGGCUCGAAUCUCGGAGGGGAUAGCGGAAUUUCCAGUGUAGCAGUGAAAUGCGUAGAUAUUGGAAGGAACACCAGUGGCGUAAGCGGCUAUCUGGACGAGUAUUGACGCUGAGGCACGAAAGCGUGGGGAUCAAACAGGAUUAGAAACCCCAGUAGUCC